rnacentral:tRNA from 1 species
AUGACUAUGGCGAAAAUGGUAAACGCGAUUAGUUUAGGUCUAAUUUUUUUAAGGGUUCAACUCCCUUUAGUCAUAU